rnacentral:lncRNA from 1 species
UCAUUCUAAACCUGUUUUCUCCUUUCCCUGCACAUUAAACCUUGAAGUCUCCAGGAUUUCCUCCUCCAGGUCUGAAAAUUGAUUUAAGAAACGGUGUUCUGUGGCAAACAAAGGGAGAUUGAGACGGUCAUCCAUUCCUAUAGGCACACCAUCCAACUUGGACAGAGGCAACCUUGUUCAGACCUAACUUCUUGCUGCCCAAGGUCCAUUGCUGGAAGACAAUGGAGAAUAAAAAAACUUAUUCCACAAUAGCAGAGACUUCUUUUAUUACUGCUUCCAGGAAAGUUAGAAACUUGCAGAUUUAUGAAGCUGUGAGCCUCACUCUGCUUCUGGAGCUUGCUUCUCCAUUCUCAACUUGACUCUGCUUAAACUGAAGAGGAUGGGCUGCAGACCUUGACAUAUUCUGUGAAACCCUGAAGUAGUUGCAUCCCCAUCUGUUGUUUUUUUGAGCAGCAUAUCACAUACAGAUCUGAUGUCCACAGUCGCCCCUUCCAUUCAUGUGCUGCCUUUGUCAGCAUUCUCCAAUGGCUCACAUUUUGGUUCUAGCUUGUCUUAGUGUGUUUUCUGUUGUUGUAACAGAAUACCACAGGCUAUGUAAUUUAUGAAGAAAAGAGACUUAUCUGGCU